GGGAAGCCCCUGGAGCCUGGAGGGGGUGUCUCCCAGGUCUAGGGAAAUCUCCGGAGAGGGUUACCCCAAAGCUGCUGAAGUAGCUCCCACCCAAAGGUCAGGGGCCAUCGCACACACACACACACACACACACACACACACACACACACACACACACCUUUUUUUUUGUUUUUGCAUGCCUGGUUUUGUUCCAAAAACCCCUCUUUAGUAUUCCCAGAUGAUCUUCGUCUGCGGCUGCGUUCCUCGGAAUGCCUGUGAGGCGUCAGGUGCCAAUCCAGCAGCUCCCCGGGAUAUACAAGUAGGAGAAGAACACAGUUCAAACUGUCAUGGAGCCUAGGGGUCUAGGAGGCGGCGGCUGGGAGAGACAGACCGGCCAGAAUGACCUUGUGCCUGGUUAGCAGCAUGGUGGGAAGACAGCGGGUGAAUCCCAGCUCCUUGAGGUGUCUGCAAGCUCAGGUAUCCUCGGGCAACACCCGGCCUGCACUUGGGAGCUGUGCUGGUGACUCUCACCGGUGGUGAUCGAGUCUCAUGAGCGGUGGUUCUCAUGAGAGACAUCGUGGAUUGCGUGAGGGCCGAAGGAGCCAAGAGCUGGCUUGGAGUCAGUUAAUAUCGAUGGCCAUCCAUCUGGACAGGAUCUGGACUCUCCUAGGAGACAAAUCCCUGGGUCUCUGUGAAAGAGUCUCUUCCACAAGAGCCUCAGGCAUGCUCGGAUGCUGGGCAAGGCCCUCUAACCACUGAGCCACAUCUCCAGCCCCAGCCAGCUGGUCCCUGCCAGUAGGAGAGCCGUGGCCACUGAAGGAGGUUUACAGCCAAGAAGCCCUUAGUGUGGAGUCCAGGCACAGUCUGGUCAAACUCCUCCGGACAGUCCUGGGGUGGAUGAGGACCAAGACCAAGCCCUGGGUUUGCCUGGGGGUAACAGUAGGGUUUUCCUAGCGCCCUCCAGACGAGGCA